rnacentral:rRNA from 1 species
UACACUCCUGCGGGAGGCAGCAGUGGGGAAUAUUGCACAAUGGGCGCAAGCCUGAUGCAGCCAUGCCGCGUGUAUGAAGAAGGCCUUCGGGUUGUAAAGUACUUUCAGCGGGGAGGAAGGCGAUAAGGUUAAUAACCUUGUCGAUUGACGUUACCCGCAGAAGAACCACCGGCUAACUCCGUGCCAGCAGCCGCGGUAAUACGGAGGGUGCAAGCGUUAAUCGGAAUUACUGGGCGUAAAGCGCACGCAGGCGGUCUGUCAAGUCGGAUGUGAAAUCCCCGGGCUCAACCUGGGAACUGCAUUCGAAACUGGCAGGCUAGAGUCUUGUAGAGGGGGGUAGAAUUCCAGGUGUAGCGGUGAAAUGCGUAGAGAUCUGGAGGAAUACCGGUGGCGAAGGCGGCCCCCUGGACAAAGACUGACGCUCAGGUGCGAAAGCGUGGGGAGCAAACAGGAUUAGAAACCCGAGUAGUCCCAUG